rnacentral:rRNA from 1 species
AGUGAACGCUGGCGGUAGGCCUAACACAUGCAAGUCGAACGGCAGCACAGUAAGAGCUUGCUCUUACGGGUGGCGAGUGGCGGACGGGUGAGGAAUACAUCGGAAUCUACUUUUUCGUGGGGGAUAACGUAGGGAAACUUACGCUAAUACCGCAUACGACCUACGGGUGAAAGCAGGGGAUCUUCGGACCUUGCGCGAUUGAAUGAGCCGAUGUCGGAUUAGCUAGUUGGCGGGGUAAAGGCCCACCAAGGCGACGAUCCGUAGCUGGUCUGAGAGGAUGAACAGCCACCCUGGAACAGAAACACGGCCAAGACUCCUCGGGGGGGCAGCAGUGGGGAAUAUUGGACAAGGGGCGCAGGCCGGAUCCAGCCAUACCGCGGGGGUGAAAAAGGCUUUGGGGUUGUAAACCCCUUUUGUUGGAAAAAAAAAGCAGCAGUUUAAUACCCCGCUGUUCUGACGGUACCAAAAAAAAAAGCACCGCCUAACUUCGUC